CCGCGUGUGUGAAGAAGGCCUGAGGGUUGUAAAGCACUUCAAUAGGAAGGAAUACCUAUCGGUUAAUACCCGGUAGACUGACAUUACCUAUACAAGAAGCACCGGCUAACUCCGUGCCAGCAGCCGCGGUAAUACGGAGGGUGCAAGCGUUAAUCGGAAUUACUGGGCGUAAAGCGUGCGUAGGCGGUUAUUUAAGUCAGAUGUGAAAGCCCUGGGCUUAACCUGGGAACUGCAUUUGAUACUGGAUGACUAGAGUUGAGUAGAGGAGAGUGGAAUUUCAGGUGUAGCGGUGAAAUGCGUAGAGAUCUGAAGGAACACCAGUGGCGAAGGCGGCUCUCUGGACUCAAACUGACGCUGAGGUACGAAAGCGUGGGUAGCAAACAGGAUUAGAUACCCUGGUAGUCCACGCCGUAAACGAUGUCAACUAACCGUUGGGUUCUUUAAGAACUUAGUGGUGGAGCUAACGUAUUAAGUUGACCGCCUGGGCAGUACGGGCGCAAGGCUAAAACUCAAAUGAAUUGACGGGGGCCCGCACAAGCGGUGGAGCAUGUGGUCUAAUUCGAUGCAACGCGAAAGAACCU
rnacentral:rRNA from 1 species